ACCUGGGUGGCUCAGUGGGUUGAGCAUCUGACUUUGGCUCAGGUCAUGAUCUCACAGUUCAUGGGUUCGAGCCCCACACCCGGCU
rnacentral:tRNA from 1 species